rnacentral:rRNA from 1 species
CCUACGGGAGGCAGCAGUGGGGGAUAUUGCACAAUGGGGGAAACCCUGAUGCAGCGACGCCGCGUGUGGGAAGACGGUCCUCUGGAUUGUAAACCACUGUCCCCAGGGACGAAGAUGACGGUACCUGGGGAGGAAGCUCCGGCUAACUACGUGCCAGCAGCCGCGGUAAUACGUAGGGAGCGAGCGUUGUCCGGAAUUACUGGGUGUAAAGGGAGCGUAGGCGGGACUGCAAGUUGGGUGUCAAAUCUACCGGCUCAACCGGUAGCCGCAAUCAAAACUGCAGUUCUUGAGUGAAGUAGAGGCAGGCGGAAUGCCUAGUGUAGCGGUGAAAGGCGUAGAUAUUAGGAGGAACACCAGUGGCGAAGGCGGCCUGCUGGGCUUUUACUGACGCUGAGGCUCGAAAGUGUGGGGAGCAAACAGGAUUAGAUACCCGGGUAGUC